AGCGACGCCGCGUGGGUGACGAAGGCUUCGGUGUAAGCCUGUGGGGGAGACGAACCGGGUCGUGGCUAAUAUCCACGGUCCUUGACGGUAUCCCUUUAGCAAGCAUCGGCUAACUCUGUGCCAGCAGCCGCGGUAAGACAGAGGAUGCAAACGUUGCUCGGAAUUACUGGGCGUAAAGCGCGCGCAGGUGGUCCGGUAAGUCGGGUGUGAAAUCCCGGGGCUCAACCUCGGAAGUGCACUCGAUACUGCUAGACUUGAGUACUGGAGAGGAGAGCGGAAUUCCCGGUGUAGAGGUGAAAUUCGUAGAUAUCGGGAGGAACACCAGUGGCGAAGGCGGCUCUCUGGACAGAUACUGACACUGAGGCGCGAAAGCGUGGGAAGCAAACAGGAUUAGAUACCCUGGUAGUCCACGCUGUAAACGAUGACGACUGGGUGUUUCGGGUAUUGACCCCCGAGGUGCCGAAGCCAACGCGUUAAGUCGUCCGCCUGGGAAGUACGGCCGCAAGGCUAAAACUCAAAAGGAAUUGACGGGGGGCCCGC
rnacentral:rRNA from 1 species